CAAAUGACUCUCGGCAACGGAUAUCUCGGCUCACGCAUCGAUGAAGAACGUAGCAAAAUGCGAUACUUGGUGUGAAUUGCAGAAUCCCGUGAACCAUCGAGUUUUUGAACGCAAGUUGCGCCCGAAGCCAUUCGGCUGAGGGCACGUCUGCCUGGGCGUCACG
rnacentral:rRNA from 1 species